GGUGGAUUGGAUAAAGAGUUUGUAAACACUAGGAGGUUAAGCGUGCUUGGGUGAGAGUAGUAACAUGAUGGGUGACCUCUUGAGAAUUCUCACCAAAUCCAACA
rnacentral:rRNA from 1 species